UUCUAUUGAUUUAUAUUUUGGUCUCGUUCACUCAAGAGUUAAUUGAUUUGAGUUUAUGGGCUAAUUUUAUUAUCUCAGGAUUUUAUACUCGAAUUAAUUAAAAAAUGGAGACAGAUUUGAGCUGAGUGUCCUGAACAAGAAUUGAAGUUCAUUUCGAUAUGAGUUCGUGGGCGAAAGCGGAUCUAAAAUUGGAUUUCAAACGAGAG
rnacentral:lncRNA from 1 species